CCAAGUGCUGGGAUUAAAGGCAUGCACCACCACUGCCCGACCUGACACUAUUAAAUUUUUACAUCCAUACUAAGUUUUCUUUAAUAAGUUUUCCUUCCUGUGUCGAAUUUUUAUCUCCAUAUUAAAGGAAAAAUGAAUAUCUUCAAAAUAUAUCUGAUUUACUUUUAUGGACCAAAACUCAGCCACAUCAAUGACUUACAGAGACUUCACUCUUCUCUUGCAAUAUGACAAUAGCCUAACAGCUUCAUUACCUGUUAUGCCUCAGCCAGGCAGCCAGUAAGUAUGAUGGCCUCGGACACAUGCAUUGUCACUGAACUCCAGGUUUUCACUCGGGGAAAAGAGAAAUCUCAGAUCGGAGGUGAAGAGGUGGAAGGCGAGCCUUUCUACAAAGAAGAAACAAAGGCGUCCUGUGGAGUGUACAGGGGCUGCUACCAUGACCUCGAGUGGUACUCUUGCCAUCUGGAAGAAGACAGCUCAGUCAAGCCAGAUGCUCUUUUUGUUUAUCACACUGCAAGACAAUCAAGGAGUAGUUCUUCUUCCCUGGAAAUAGAUUAGAAAAUCUGGCAGACAAAGUAGAGGGCGAAACCUGACGCCAUCCAUUUGAAGUGAUGUAGCCUUGAGCUUUCCAAGGAUAAGCAAACCAGACUUUGGCCAAAUCUGUGUCCAUACAUGUAUGUGCAUGCCUUCUCCUGAUUGUAUUAUGUUGGUGAGUAGGGUGUGUUAAUUUGCUAGGUGUUAUUGAAAGAUGGAAUGCUAUUAUCACUCUAUCUUAGUUGGAAUAUCCUUCACGUGGGGGUCCGCUGGGAGCACCUAAUCUCUUGUGGUGAUUUGGAAAGCUGCAUUAAAUUUAUUGAAGGAAAAAUAUGUGAAAAUUAUUCUAAAAAUAACCAUGAAAUUUACUAUGUUUAAUUUGCUGGCCUAAAAGCUCUUCAAGUCAGUAGUGACCACAGAUUCCUAGCAUUAAUGAACAAUUACCAUAUUGCUGAAAUUGACACCAUAUUUAGCCAUAGAAAUCUUCUUAUUGGUGCUGAGAAAGGCAAAAAAUACAGUAGCAUAAAAAGCAUGAAAUAUAUUCUUCGUUGAUGAAAUACCUUUAGUCGGGAUUUAGCUGUCCCACACUGUGGUACGCAGGAAUGGGCUUAUCACUGUUAUCUUCUGGCCUAGAGUUAGAAGCAUUUCAUACUGUGAUUCAUGUACCUUUCACCAAGGAUAAAUCUCAUGUUUUUCCCUAAAAAACAAAGAAGGCUUACAUAGUCCCACCUCAGACCUAGUCUUUCUAGUAAUUAUCUGUUGCUUAGAAUCAGUAUCAGUCAACUAAGUUCAGAUGGGGGAGGGAUGUUUGAUCUGCAGUGGUGUGAUUUGGAAGACUGUUUACGUAAAAGGUAUGGCUAUGCACAUACAGAGAACAUAUUGAUCUAAUUUGACUGCCAGUGAUUUAAUUAAUGUUGCUCAUGCACUUUGAACAUGAAAAACACUAUUUGAAAGCUGAGAGCCAUUAUUCAUUAUCAUUUUUCCUAGAAUUAAUGUACCAAUGUGAAACUCCUAUGGUUUCUUUAAGAGACAGGCUCUAUUUUAAUAAACUCUUUGGACCAUGUUUUAGGAAACUCUCAUUAAAACUUGAAGACUUUAGUUUUUGAAAGUCAAGCUUCAAGCUAGUAUCAGUAGAUUCUGAAGCGAUUAUGCUAAAUCAGCAAUGGUGACAUCUUGGUGAAGUAUACACAACUGUUUAUUCAGAGAAUGCUAACAAGGGCAAGCUGAAAAUAAGAACACACACCACAACCUGAUUUUCAAGUGUUUGUGUCUGCAUAUUAUCUAAAAUUACCCCAUAUUAUCUUCUAGGUUUUUUCCCCCUUCUAACUUUUUUUCUUUCUAAGAAAAUAACCACUGAUGAGCUUGAUACCUUGGUAAUAAUCUAAAAAGAAGAAAAAAAGUGAGUGGGGACUUUCUUUUAAGGCUUUGACAAGUACACAUGACCUCUUCCGUUAUUACUUUUUCUUCAAGUCAAGUAUAAGAACCACUGGCAAAAGAUGAAGAAAUCUUGAGCUGAGAAAGAAAGAAUUUGGAAGAACUUUAUCUGACACAUAAGCAGUUUUAGCAGUGUUCUAUCCGUGCCUACAGAGGAAUGGCAGGAUAUUUGUUCAGCUUUCCAGUACCAUGGGACAGAAUGUACUUGCCUAUAGAUUAGAAAAGGAGACUAAAAAAAGAUACCUUUACCAAAAUUAAGGAUGUAUAGAAACCCACUACUUUAUGAGAUAAUUUAAAAUACAGAAUUUAAACACAGGUGCCCCAUAUGGGUACAUUGUGUGCUUCCCACAGAAGACAUGAGUUAGUAAAAGAAAAUCUCAGAGCUAGGCAAUGAAUAGAUUACUGUGAGUUAUUGUUCUGGGAGACAACAGAGGCCCCCAAACACCAUCGGCUAUUACUCUUGCUUGAUUACCCACCACAACUAGUUGCUAAGACCCUAUUGCUGAAGAGACAGCACAAUUGGGUGACAGGGCAUAGAGCAGUCACGCUGCAAGAGACCUGAACUGGUCCUGUCAUCUGGCUAGCUUUCAUGGUGCUAGAAGAGCCUUUGCAGGCUGCUAGAGGUGAGAGGUAACCCACCAACUAAGUGAAGGCUACAACGCCACCCCGCCAGGCAAGAUGUGUCCACUGUUGUAAUAGAAGCAAGAAGGUAAUGGUUGCAACUAAUUGCUUUCUGUUUGGACUUGAGGACUGCUCCACAAGAAGGAAUUCAUACCCGAUAAUAUAAACUUGCUCAUAAACUCUAGGCGGGAACCUAUUCCUGUUGUUUUGCUACAUAGAUAUGUUGUCAAAUUCCCUUAUAAAUAUGUGAUGUUUGGACACAUAAAUUAAUAUUGUUCUCAAUCUUGACCACAGGAGCUUCUUUCUUUAGUAGUCACAGUUAAAUGCAGAGACCCAUAACUGGUCAAAGGGCUAAGAAUAAAUGACUAUUGAGUGUUCGGUAUUAAAGAGAACAUCUAUAUCAACCUGCCCGAGGCUUAGGGAUCAUCCCAGAGAGGAGGUUGGAAGAGGGGAAAAGCUGGUGGCUGGGGAAUGGUGCCUGCUCUGGGAUGUUUCUGGAUAUGACAAAGCUGCUGUGCUCACGAACUUACUGCAGCAAGUGUCACCUACACAAGGCCUGGACACGAUCUAGCUGGCCCACCAGGCCGCGCUAAUCACUCUUCAUUGGUUACGGACACAUAGAAAGGAGAAGAUGCAAAGGUAUAAGGGCGCCUUGUUAGGAGUAUUUGGGGGAACAACUGGGGGAAGGAGAGCUGGGGUGGGUGUGAUCGAGAUACACUGUCUCAAAUUGACAAAGAAUGAAUAAAAGGUGCCUUAAAAUAGCUGACUUUCCCUUGGGGCCCUCAGUGAGGUAUAGCCUCGGAAACCCCUGACUUGGUUUUGAAUUUUACCUUCUUCUCAUUUAUUUUCCACUCACCUAAACAGAACUUUUGCUUGCACGUCAAUGUAGAAGUUUCUUCUACGUGUACGACACAACAUGCAUCUUCUGAAUAAAGCGCCCAUUCCUACAAAACUGAUUUUGUUUACUUAAUAUCUUAAAUUUAAUCUUGGAGAGUUUCGUGCAUGGAUACAGUAAAUUUCAACUAUGUUCAUCUUCACUCCCUCUCUCUAAAUCCUCCUGGAUCCUCUCAUGUCUCUUUCAACAUCAUUUUGUUGUUUUAUAUAACCUACUGGGUCCAAUUAGCACUACCCAUAUAUAGAUUGUGUGGGAACAUCCACUAGAACUUGGUCAACUUAAUAGGGAUUGCACCCCAAAAGAGAACAGGCUCUCCCUCCCCUGAUAGCCAUUAACUGUCAAGAGUACCUCAACUAAGGGCGGGGCUCAGGUGCCUCUUCCCCAUUUGUGCUGAAUGUUCACCGUCUUAACCUAUGCUGGUCUUAUGGUCUUAUGCUGACAGCACACAGCCGUUAUGAGUUUAUAACCACAAAUGGUCCUGUCACGGCCAAAAGACACUGAACUUCAGUCUUCCUCAACCUCUGACUUUCACAGUCUUCCCCUUUCCUUUCAUUCUUAGCACAAAUCUUACUGGUAGCAAGCAGGUGUGGCAGGGAAGGUAAUGUCUAUCAAACAUAUUUAGAAAGGGACAUCAAGAGUAUUGAAUUACUAGGUUUGUAAGGUUCUAGGUGGGUAAGAGCACUUUUUAACCACGCAUUUCUAGAUCCAGAGCCUAAUUAUCCAAGAAGGCAACUCUAGAUCUCUAGGAGGUUUCCCAGAGAACAAUUAGACCCACAAGAGACUUCUUAUGAGUAAGAUUUUAGAGCUGAGCAGUCUGGCAGCAUUAGCUACACGUGGUGUAUACUCCAAAAAAUAUCAUCGACUUACAUCUAUCCUCUAGCACAAUGAAAACACUUUGUAACUUCUUUUUUCUGCUUUCAGACAGGGUCUCACUGUGUGGGCUCUGCUGGCCUGGAACUGGCUAUGUACACCAGGUUCGCCUCCAGCUGAGAGACAUCUACUAGCAAAUCCUUAGGAGAAUGUUCUGGAAAGGCUGAUCUAUGUCACCUGUCAUCAGAACUGUUCAAGAUCCUAUUGCUUUUGAAGUUAACCUGUUGAAACUCUUUAGCAGCCUUAACCAACCAAGAUGCAUUCCCUUCUGGAUAAUUAUAAUUUCAGGGGUCCAGUCCAUGGGAUGGUACUGCUGACAUUAAACUGAGUCUUCCCUCCUUAAUCAAAGUUUUCAAGAAACAUCCUCGUGGACAUACCUAGAGGUAUAUUUUCAUGAUGGUUCUCAAUCCAGUCAAGUGGACAGGACAGAUUAACCGUCACAGUCAUCCUCACACAAUCAUCCUGGUUCAGACCAAGACGCCAUACAGGUCUCUCAACUCUGUCACAUUUAACAUCUGCACACUUGACAUCCAUUAUCCAUAGCUGACCACAUCGACAAAAGAUCCUUGGGGAUAUCUGAAAUCUUAGCUUACAUUGGCGGGAAUUCUACAAUUAACCUAACAGCUCUGGCCAGACAAAAUGACUACAAGCAGCAUAAGAGAUGAAGAUCAAAAGCCUCAUGGAGUUGGAUUACGUUGAUUGGCCUGUGUCCCGUACUUGGAGAAUGUAGAAUCCUGCUUUUGACACAAAUUUACAUUUAUGGACGCUGAACUGUUGCCUUCUUCCCUUUACGGUGGCAACAAUGAGACUUGGUGAACGAGAUCUUUCUAAAACAGCUUCAUCUCAACAGCUAUGGCAGUCUACAGAGGCCAACUCAAAGCCAACCUGUUCCCUUUGGGCAAACGUAUCUUGCCUAGCCUCUGCCAACCGCUUCCUGUCAGAGGCCAACUCUCGCCUGGGUAUACUAUGCCCCAGUGGUUUUGCAUCCCCGUUCAGCGGUUUCCUGCCUGCUGUAAGUGGUGCCCCACCGAAACACCCCUCACGCUGGAUACCACGAUGCUCUGGUCAGAUCCCUGUUUCAGCGUGGCGGACCUAUCCCCAUCUCUAGGGGAUAAACUAAUGAAGCUGACAGCUUUGUUCUUUCCUGACCUCUGACUUGUCCAAGGCUACAGUCUGUUCCAAUGGGAAGGCCAAAAUCAGAGCGGCCAACAGGGAGG